rnacentral:rRNA from 1 species
UACGUAGGUGGCAAGCGUUGUCCGGAAUUAUUGGGCGUAAAGCGCGCGCAGGCGGUCCUUUAAGUCUGAUGUGAAAGCCCACGGCUCAACCGUGGAAGGUCAUUGGAAACUGGGGGACUUGAGUGCAGAAGAGGAAAGCGGAAUUCCAAGUGUAGCGGUGAAAUGCGUAGAGAUUUGGAGGAACACCAGUGGCGAAGGCGGCUUUCUGGUCUGUAACUGACGCUGAGGCGCGAAAGCCAGGGGAGCAAACGGG